GUAAGCAUUAGAUUAGCGUUUAAAUACAC
rnacentral:sRNA from 1 species